GCUUCCAUGGCUCAGUUGGUAGAGCGACGCAUUCGUAAUGCGUAGGUCAAGGGUUCGAGUCCCUUUGGAAGCU
rnacentral:tRNA from 2 species